GAUCAUGGCUCAGGAUGAACGCUGGCGGCGUGCCUAACACAUGCAAGUCGAGCGGAGAUAAGUUGAAGCCUAGCGAUUCUUAUCUUAGCGGCGGAUGGGUGAGUAACACGUGGGUAACCUGCCCUGUACUGGGGGAUAACAGCUGGAAACGGCUGUUAAUACCGCAUAUGCGCACGGAGCCGCAUGGCCCUGGGCGGAAAGAUUCAUCGGUACAGGAUGGGCCCGCGCCGGAUUAACUUGUUGGCGGGGUAACGGCCCACCAAGGUGAUGAUCCGUAGCCGACCUGAGAGGGUGACCGGCCACAUUGGGACUGAGACACGGCCCAAACUCCUACGGGAGGCAGCAGUGGGGGAUAUUGCACAAUGGGGGAAACCCUGAUGCAGCGACGCCGCGUGAAGGAAGAAGUAUUUCGGUAUGUAAACUUCUAUCAGCGGGGAAGAAGAUGACGGUACCCGCACAAGAAGCCCCGGCUAACUACGUGCCAGCCGCUGC
rnacentral:rRNA from 1 species